CAACCAUUUCAAUUAGCUUCUUCUUCCUCUUUUUUUUUUUUUUUUUUUCACAAUUUUCAUAUUUGAUGCUGAAUUGCUGGCCGAUGAGGAAGAAAUCCCAGGAAUAGGAAGUGCCGUAUGACACUUUUAAAAAAUGCAGCCGAUAGAGAGAGCGGCGGGCACGCUUUUCCCAUCCACCGAUUUCAGGGCAAUCUUUGCGUGUGUUGCAAUUUUUGUUUUGUUUAAUUGGUCGGGUUUUGCAAGUCCGAUUUCACCGUCUCCCUCUUUCGCUGCGUGGUUGAUUUGAAACGGGUCUCUGAGAGGAUGAAGUAUUUUAAGUCAGCAGGGGAGAAAACAAGCUCAUUAAGCGAGAUAUGGCAGUGGGCGGGCUGACCUGUUAAUUUGCGAUGAAUUUCACUAGUCUCAAGAGGAACAUUUCCAGGCUUCCUUCGGUUGUUCUUACCCCCUAUGACAUAUUGACAUGGAAGGGAAAAAAUCCACCUUUGUAUUUUCAUGACGUGUCAAACUUGAGAUUCUGUGUCAACAACUAGAAUUCUCUAAAUCAAAGAAGUGGCUAGGCAAUGAUUUGGGGCUUAGAAUAGCAUUUGACCAGAUGAGCUCAAUCUUGAUAUUGGUAGAAGUCAACUUGGAAAUGUCCAUUCUUGAGCUGUCAUGGUAAGCGGUAACUUGGAAACGUCCAUUGUGUGCCAAGGC